AGAGAUUUAGGCUAGACCUAAACCAAAGGCCUUCAAAGCCUUAAUCAAGAGUGGAAACCUCUUAGUCUCUG
rnacentral:tRNA from 1 species